CCUACGGGUGGCAGCAGUGGGGAAUAUUGGGCAAUGGGCGCAAGCCUGACCCAGCAACGCCGCGUGAAGGAAGAAGGCUUUCGGGUUGUAAACUUCUUUUAAGAGGGAAGAGCAGAAGACGGUACCUCUUGAAUAAGCCACGGCUAACUACGUGCCAGCAGCCGCGGUAAUACGUAGGUGGCAAGCGUUGUCCGGAUUUACUGGGUGUAAAGGGUGCGUAGGCGGAUCGUUAAGUCAGUGGUCAAAUUGAGGGGCUCAACCCCUUCCCGCCAUUGAAACUGGCGCGCUUGAGUGGAAGAGAAGUAGGCGGAAUGCGUGGUGUAGCGGUGAAAUGCAUAGAUAUCACGCAGAACCCCGAUUGCGAAGGCAGCAUGCCGGAUUCCGACUGACGCUGAAGCACGAAAGCGUGGGGAUCGAACAGGAUUAGAUACCCUAGUAGUC
rnacentral:rRNA from 1 species